AACACAACUUUGUAGCUUUUGUCUUGCCCAGUGUGCAUCUGUCUGGGGUGCCCUGUUGGGUCCUAAAGGCUCUCUUGGCUGUGUUUACAUCCAGAUAUAGUUGGACUGUCGUUAUUGGGUGCUGCCAUGGUGGUCUCUUCCUCCUCCUCCUUCUCUCUACAUGGCUUUCUACAACUGGUUGGAGAAAAGGAAUGGCAAUUUUCCCAAAGAGGCUCAGAAUCUUCCCAUCCCAACUCAACUAUACCAAUCCAAUUCAACUAUGAACAAUGAGAAGGACUGAAUAGAUGAGAUGAGUAAAUAUUAAUUUUUGGCCAGUAAAAUAGCUGGAAGACCAAAGGAAACAUUUCAUUUAUAAGCUAAAUCUAGAACCUGGAUUCUUCAUCACCUGAAAUAAAUAAAAUAUCAAUCAUUAUUGAUGGUGGAAGAAACAUGGCAUGGAAGAAACAUUUCCCAAGUAAUCAUCAUCAAUGCAUGUUCGAGAAAAGGCACCUUUCCAUGAGGGAGGUGGGUGGGGGGAUUUCAGCCCCUAAAAUUGGAUGUGGGCACUUUCUUUGUUGCUGUUCCUGCAAACUGAAUUACAAGAAAGCUGGAAUGUUUUAGCCACUUGGCGGCCAGAUGGACCAUUCUAGAUGUAUCAAAGUGAAAACCAGACAGUGAAUUACAUAGGAGAAGUCAAUGUUCUUCAAACA